rnacentral:rRNA from 1 species
UACGUAGGGUCCGAGCGUUGUCCGGAAUUACUGGGCGUAAAGAGCUCGUAGGUGGUUUGUCGCGUUGUCCGUGAAAACUCACAACUCAACUGUGGGCGUGCGGGCGAUACGGGCAGACUGGAGUACUGCAGGGGAGACUGGAAUUCCUGGUGUAGCGGUGGAAUGCGCAGAUAUCAGGAGGAACACCGGUGGCGAAGGCGGGUCUCUGGGCAGUAACUGACGCUGAGGAGCGAAAGCGUGGGGAGCGAACAGG